GUUCCUGUAGCGCAAUGGAUAGUGCAUUGGUCUUCUAAUCCAAAGGUCAUGGGUUCAAAUCCCACCUGAAAUG
rnacentral:tRNA from 1 species